AAUACAAAAACUAGGUUCUUUGGUCCACAUACUGAAGCUGAAACCCUUAAACGUCAAAACUCAAAAGCUUCAAACAUAUACCGCCCAAAUCCCCUCGUGGGAUCCUCAGAAACCUGUUCGAAAUUUGAAUUCCCCAAAAUUCUCACCAAAUCGAAAACCUAACCGGCUUUUACGUCUUCAGUUGUUGUCACCCACUCACUUCUUCCUCUUUAAAAUACUAUUACUCUCCACACAUCGAUCACCAGACUAAUCCGGAUCUCACACGGCUCGUGAUUCAUAUCAUCUUGGUGGAAACAUGUAGAGCCUACACCCAAAGAUCCUAUUAUUGGCGUACGAAGCUUUUCUCCCAGGUUCUUUAUGUUGGCUUGUUUGUGAAUUGUUAGGGAGCUUAUCAUGAUGAUAACUAGAAGUCAGUUGUUCUUGAUCUUGUUAGAGAAGCUGAGAGACUGCUGGAAACAUGAACAUAUGGUUUGCUACUUUUUUUUUUCUUAUCAAAAGAUCAAAAGCCCUGAUGACGAGCCCAAAGUGAAUAAGUUGUGUUUGAAGAAAAAAAUGGAUCAGAGGUGAGAACCAUAUAUAUGGCCAAUGAUUUUGAAUCCUCAUGAAAGAGAAAAACAAUUAAUAAAGCAAAAGAAAUGCAGACAUCAAGGACAUGAAGAUGUAUGCCAUGGUGCUAGCGAAACUAGAAACGAUCAAAUCCAUGAUUACUCGGCCUCCAUUGGCUAAUGAUGAUUUGGAGGGUAGAAGUGAAGAUGACUUCUCUGAAUGGAUUAAAAGCAAGUUUUGCACCAGAUAAGGUAGAAUACAUUUGAGAUGAAGUUCCACAUUUAAAAGACUAUAAGGCUUUUAAGGUGCUUGCAGCUUUGGAUCAACAAAGUAUUAUCAAAGACCAACUGGUUCUUGCUUUAUUUGAGUCAUUUGACCGUAAGCACAUAUGUAUAAGCUUAAUAACUUAAAUUAUAGGCGCCCAUUGAAAGAUUUUUUCUUACGACGUUUAUCUUUGUCGGAAUGCUAAAAAGGGCUAAUUUACAAUAUUUAUAUUAGAAGAAAGAAAUAAGCUAAAUUAUAGUAUAUUUAUUAUGUCUAUAUGUAACGUUGUUAUUAUUAUUAUUAUGUUAGCAUAGUUAGAGGCGGUUAUCAAACUAACCGGCCGAGUAUAUAUGUAAUCUCUGUAUGAACAUUAUGAUUCACCAAGAUAUUCAAUACAAUAUCCAUUUACAAGAAUUCGUUUGCACUCUCUUAUGUACAAACACACACGUACAGAGUCA